rnacentral:misc_RNA from 1 species
UACGGAGGGGGCUAGCGUUGUUCGGAAUUACUGGGCGUAAAGCGCGCGCAGGCGGUUCAUCAAGUCAGGGGUGAAAGCCCGGAGCUCAACUCCGGAACGGCCUCUGAAACUGGUGAACUUGAGUACGGGAGAGGUGAGUGGAAUUCCGAGUGUAGAGGUGAAAUUCGUAGAUAUUCGGAAGAACACCAGUGGCGAAGGCGGCUCACUGGCCCGUUACUGACGCUCAGGCGCGACAGCGUGGGGAGCAAACAGG